rnacentral:rRNA from 1 species
GACGAACGCUGGCGGCGUGCCUAACACAUGCAAGUCGAGCGAUGAAGUUCUUCGGAACGGAUUAGCGGCGGACGGGUGAGUAACGCGUGAGCAAUCUGCCUUACACAAAGGGAUAGCCUCGGGAAACUGGGAUUAAUACCAUAUGACACUUGGUAAUCGCAUGAGGACCAAGUCAAAGAUUUUAUCGGUGUAAGAUGAGCUCGCGUCUGAUUAGCUAGUUGGUGGGGUAAAGGCCUACCAAGGCGACGAUCAGUAGCCGGCCUGAGAGGGUGAACGGCCACACUGGAACUGAGACACGGUCCAGACUCCUACGGGAGGCAGCAGUGGGGAAUAUUGCACAAUGGGCGCAAGCCUGAUGCAGCGACGCCGCGUGAGCGAAGAAGGUUUUCGGAUCGUAAAGCUCUGUCCUCUGGGAAGAAAAAAUGACGGUACCAGAGGAGGAAGCCCGGCUAACUACGUG